rnacentral:rRNA from 1 species
GACGAACGCUGGCGGCGUGCUUAACACAUGCAAGUCGAACGGAAAGGCCCUUCGGGUUACUCGAGUGGCGAACGGGUGAGUAACACUUGGGUGAUCUUCCCCUCACUUUGGGAUAAGCCUGGGUAACUGGGUCUAAUACCGGAUAGGACCACGGCAUUCAUGUGCUUUGGUGGAAAGCGUUUGCGGCGUGGGUUGGGCCCGCGGUCUAUGAGUCUGUUGGUGGGGUAAUGGCCUACCAAGGCGUCGACGGGUAGCCGGCCUGAGAGGGUGACCGGCCACACUGGGACUGAGAUACGGCCCAGACUCCUACGGGAGGCAGCAGUGGGGAAUAUUGCACAAUGGGCGCAAGCCUGAUGCAGCAACGCCGCGUGAGGGAUGACGGCCUUCGGGUUGUAAACCUCUUUCGCCAGGGACGAAGCGCGAGUGACGGUACCUGGAGAAGAAGGACCGGCCAACUACGUG